UUUGUGCCUAACAACCUAAAGCCCUUCGUGGUUUGGGAUUGUUGACCCAACGCUCGCUACAUGGGUACUAGUGCAUAAAUCUUUAGGGAUCUCAACCAUUGCACGGUUAAAUAAACCACUAGAAUAGAGUGAAUAAUUGGUGUGUGAAGUCUUGUGGUGUUCGUAACGCAUUUACACUGCGAAGCGCUCUGACCUUAGACCGAGCAAUUAAUCACCAAUAAAAAAAAAAAAAAAAUAGUGAAUAAAAUAGAAGGGUGUGGACAUUCUUUGGGACCUUGGCUUUUAGUUGGACUUGAGUGACGGGGUGUUAGUUUUGAACUUUUACGAUUCUUGAUUAGGAUUCUGUGGGAGUAGUAGUUUUUUAUUAGUUUUAAACUUUUACGAUUCUUGAUUAGGAUUCUGUGGGAGUAGUAGUUUUUGUCUUGUCUCAAUAAAAGAGCAUGCUUGCACACACUGGCACUCCACACUUGUAAAUAGAAAAGUAAUUGACUUGGUAGCGAGAGAGAUGAAAUUCAAGAACAUUAGCACAAUCUGAGGUAUUAUAAUUGACAAGGCAAUUACUUCAUAGUUCACUCAUUCAUCAUGUAGUUGCAUUCAUGCAUUGCAUUGUAUUAUUGUAUAGUGUCGUUGACGCUUGAGGACAAGCAUCAGUUUAAGUUUGGGGGUGUGAUAAGUGGUAUUUAUACACACUUAUAGGCCUUCAUUUCCACUUAAAUUGGUUGGUUGUACUUAAGUGUUUAGUGUCUUUUGAUGUGUUUUUAGUGUUUUUCU
rnacentral:lncRNA from 1 species